rnacentral:rRNA from 1 species
AUUGAACGCUGGCGGCAUGCCUAACACAUGCAAGUCGAGCGAGCGGCGGACGGGUGAGUAAUGUCUGGGAAACUGCCUGAAGGAGGGGGAUAACUACUGGAAACGGUAGCUCAUACCGCAUACCAUCAGAUUUGCAGAGAUGGGAUUAGCUAGUUGGGUGGGUAACGUCGCACCUAGGCGACGAUCCCUAGCUGUUCUGCGAGGAUGACCAGCCACACUGGGACUGAGACACGGUCCAGACUCCUACGGGAGGCAGCAGUGGGGAAUUUUGCACAAUGGGCGAAAGCCUGAUGCAGCCAUGCCGCGUGUGUGAAGAAGGUCUUCGGGUUGUAAAGCACUUUUAGCGGGGAGGCGUUACCCGCAGAAGAAGCACCGGCUAACUCCGUGCCAGCAGCCGCGGUAAUUC